rnacentral:lncRNA from 1 species
ACUUCGUCUUCCGAGGCUCUGGGGAAGGACCGCUCCGUCUCACGGGUCACUUGGACAGUGGGCGCACCCGAGGGUUGAGGCGUCAUCCUACGGCGGGGUCAGAGGGAAGGGUAAGUUUGAGUCCGUCACUGGGCGCAGUCCGCGAUUCCGAGGCUAGGUGGGAAAAAACAAAAACAGCCAUCCUCCCAGCCCCCGCUGGGUCAGAGGAUCCCUCUUUCCCCUGCCCGUCCCUCGGAGGCCUCCAAAUAUUACCUUUCUACCGGCGCAAAAGAAUAGAGAGCGAUGAGCAGCGAGGGCCGUGGGGAGCUCAGCGGGCUUCUGGUCGCCAAGUUCAGCUGAG